AGUGAACGCUGGCGGCAGGCCUAACACAUGCAAGUCGAACGGCAGCACCGUAAGAGCCUGCCUUUACGGGUGGCGCGUGGCGGACGGGUGAGGAAUACACCGAACUCUACUUUUUCGCGGGGGGUAACGACGGGACAAUAAUGAUACUACUGCAUACGACUUACGCGCGAAAGCAUGGGAUUUUCGGUCAUUGCGCGACUGAAUGAGAUGAUGGCGGAUUAGCUUGUUUGCGGGGCAAAGGCCCACCAAGGCGACGCUCCGUAGAUGAUCUGAGAGGAUGAUCAGCUACACUGGAACUGAGACACGGUCCAGACUCCUAUGGGAGGCAGCGGUGGGGAAUGUUGUACAAGUGGCGGAAGCCUGAUCCAGCCAUACCGCGUGGGUGAAGAAGACCUUCGGGUUGUAGAUCCCUUUUGUUGUGAAAGAAAAGCAGCGGGUUAAUACCCCGCUGUUCUGACGGUACCCUAAGAAUAAGCACCGGCUAACUUCGUG
rnacentral:rRNA from 1 species